rnacentral:rRNA from 1 species
AUAUUAAUAAGCGGAGGAAAAGAAACUAACCAGGAUUCCCCUAGUAACGGCGAGUGAAGCGGGAAGAGCUCAACCCGAGAAUCGACGCGCCCAACGGUGCGCCGAGUUGUGGGGUAUCGAGGCAUGAUCAGUGGCGACCCCGGUAGAAAUCUUUUGGAAAAAGGUAUCAUAGAGGGUGAGAAUCCCGUCUGUGACUGGGAGUUCGCUGCGUACGAUCUGCUUUCCAAGAGUCGAGUUGUUUGGGAUUGCAACUCUAAAUGGGUGGUAAAUUUCAUCUAAAGCUAAAUAUCAGCGAGAGACCGAUAGCGAACAAGUACCGUGAGGGAAAGAUGAAAAGAACUUUGAAAAGAGAGUUAAAAAGUACUUGAAAUUGUUAAGAGAGAAGCGAUGGCAACCAGUAGUGCGCCGUGGAGUAUUCUUGUUCUUGGGGCGGUUUGGAGUGGGUUUUGAGUUCCGAAUGGUCUUGAAUCUGCUUCCACAAAAUCGUUUCGGGGCGGGUUCUGCUGUGCGGAUGAAGCGAGUCAGCAUCGGUUUGAGUCGUGGCAGAAAGCUUAAGGAAAGGUAGGGUCGGCUAGCAAUAGUUGGACCUGUUAUAGACCUUGAGCUCUACCAUGACCCGGACUGAGGCUCUGCAAAGCGCUUUUUCGG